rnacentral:rRNA from 1 species
UUCUUUAAGAGAUAAUUUAAAGUAAAACCUGCUCAAUGAAUUAUUAAAUGGCCGCAGUAUUACUGUGCUAAGGUAGCAUAAUCACUUGCUUUUUAAAUGAAAGAUCGUAUGAAAGGAUUAACGAUUAAUUACUUUUUUUCUAAAUAUACAUAAUUUAACAUUAAUGUAAAAAGACAUUAAUUAAUUAGUAAGACGAUAAGACCCUACUAAACUUAGCAUUUUGUUGGGGUGACAAAAGAACAAAAUCUUAUUUUAAACAACAAAAUACCUUUUUCUAAAAUAUAAAUAGUUACUAUAGGGAUAACAGCGCAAUAUCUUUUUAGAGUUCUUAUCAAAAAAGAAGUUUACGACCUCGAUGUUGAAUUAAUUUACCAUAUUCAAGCAAAAUUUAUUAUAGGUAGUCUGUUCGACUAUUAAAAAAUU